rfam:Triticum urartu cultivar G1812 contig167608, whole genome shotgun sequence.
AAAACGGUUUUUUUUAAAACUACUCUUACAACCGUAUUAAUUUUG